GGGUUGUGAGGUUAAGCGAAUAAGCGUACACGGUGGAUGCCUAGGCAAUCAGAGGCGAUGAAGGACGUGCUAAUCUGCGAAAAGCGUCGGUAAGGUGAUAUGAACCGUUACACCCGACGAUAUCCGAAUGGGGAAACCCAGUAUCCAAUGGAUACUAUCAUUAACUGAAUCCAUAGGUUAAUGAGGCGAACCGGGAGAACUGAAACAUCUCAGUACCCCGAGGAAAAGAAAUCAACCGAGAUUCCCCUAGUAGCGGCGAGCGAACGGGGAGCAGCCCAGAGUCUUAAUCAAUAGCAGUGUCAGGAGAACGGUCUGGAAAGUCCGGCAGUAAAGGGUGAUAGCCCCGUAUCUGAAGAUGCUGUUAUUGUGAACUCGACGAGUAGGGCGGGACACGUGUUAUCCUGUCUGAAUAUGGGGGACCAUCCUCCAAGGCUAAAUACUCCUGAUUGACCGAUAGUGAACCAGUACCGUGAGGGAAAGGCGAAAAGAACCCCGGCGAGGGGAGUGAAAAAGAACCUGAAACCGUGUACGUACAAGCAGUAGGAGCCUCUUUAUGGGGUGACUGCGUACCUUUUGUAUAAUGGGUCAGCGACUUAUAUUCUGUAGCAAGGUUAACCGCAUAGGGGAGCCGUAGGGAAACCGAGUCUUAACUGGGCGAAUGAGUUGCAGGGUAUAGACCCGAAACCCGGUGAUCUAUCCAUGGGCAGGUUGAAGGUUGGGUAACACUAACUGGAGGACCGAACCGACUAAUGUUGAAAAAUUAGCGGAUGACUUGUGGAUGGGGGUGAAAGGCCAAUCAAACCGGGAGAUAGCUGGUUCUCCCCGAAAGCUAUUUAGGUAGCGCCUCGUGAACUCAUCUUCGGGGGUAGAGCACUGUUUCGACUAGGGGGUCAUCCCGACUUACCAACUCGAUGCAAACUGCGAAUACCGAAGAAUGUUAUCACGGGAGACACACGGCGGGUGCUAACGUCCGUCGUGAAGAGGGAAACAACCCAGACCGCCAGCUAAGGUCCCAAAGUCAUGGUUAAGUGGGAAACGAAGUGGGAAGGCUCAGACAGCCAGGAUGUUGGCUUAGAAGCAGCCAUCAUUUAAAGAAAGCGUAAUAGCUCACUGGUCGAGUCGGCCCGCGCGGAAGAUGUAACGGGGCUAAACCAUGCACCGAAGCUGCGGCAGCGACACAAAGUGUUGUUGGGUAGGGGAGCGUUCUGUAAGCCUGCGAAGGUGUACUGUGAGGUAUGCUGGAGGUAUCAGAAGUGCGAAUGCUGACAUAAGUAACGAUAAUGCGGGUGAAAAACCCGCACGCCGGAAGACCAAGGGUUCCUGUCCAACGUUAAUCGGGGCAGGGUGAGUCGACCCCUAAGGCGAGGCUGAAAAGCGUAGUCGAUGGGAAACGGGUUAAUAUUCCCGUACUGGUGGUAACUGCGAUGGGGGAACGGAGAAGGCUAGGUUGUCCGGGCGACGGUCGUCCCGGUUCAAGCAGGUAGGCAGAGUGAUUAGGCAAAUCCGGUCACUUAAUGCUGAGAUGUGAUGACGAACCACCAAGGUGGUGAAGCAAUUGAUGCCCCGCUUCCAGGAAAAGCCUCUAAGCUUCAGGUUACCAACAAUCGUACCCCAAACCGACACAGGUGGUCAGGUAGAGAAUACUCAGGCGCUUGAGAGAACUCGGGUGAAGGAACUAGGCAAAAUGGUGCCGUAACUUCGGGAGAAGGCACGCUGGCGGUAGGUAAAGUCCCUUGCGGACGGCGCCCAAGCCAGUCGAAGAUACCAGCUGGCUGCAACUGUUUAUUAAAAACACAGCACUGUGCAAACACGAAAGUGGACGUAUACGGUGUGACGCCUGCCCGGUGCUGGAAGGUUAAUUGAUGGGGUUAGCGCAAGCGAAGCUCCUGAUCGAAGCCCCAGUAAACGGCGGCCGUAACUAUAACGGUCCUAAGGUAGCGAAAUUCCUUGUCGGGUAAGUUCCGACCUGCACGAAUGGCGUAAUGAUGGCCAGGCUGUCUCCACCCGAGACUCAGUGAAAUUGAACUCGCUGUGAAGAUGCAGUGUACCCGCGGCAAGACGGAAAGACCCCGUGAACCUUUACUAUAGCUUGACACUGAACAUUGAGCCUUGAUGUGUAGGAUAGGUGGGAGGCUUUGAAGUGUGGACGCCAGUCUGCAUGGAGCCAACCUUGAAAUACCACCCUUUAACGUUUGAUGUUCUAACCUAGGCCCAUAAACUGGGUCGGGGACCGUGUCUGGUGGGUAGUUUGACUGGGGCGGUCUCCUCCUAAAGAGUAACGGAGGAGCACGAAGGUUGGCUAAGCAUGGUCGGACAUCAUGCGGUUAGUGCAAAGGCAUAAGCCAGCUUGACUGCGAGAGUGACGGCUCGAGCAGGUACGAAAGUAGGUCUUAGUGAUCCGGUGGUUCUGAAUGGAAGGGCCAUCGCUCAACGGAUAAAAGGUACUCCGGGGAUAACAGGCUGAUACCGCCCAAGAGUUCAUAUCGACGGCGGUGUUUGGCACCUCGAUGUCGGCUCAUCACAUCCUGGGGCUGAAGUAGGUCCCAAGGGUAUGGCUGUUCGCCAUUUAAAGUGGUACGCGAGCUGGGUUUAGAACGUCGUGAGACAGUUCGGUCCCUAUCUGCCGUGGGCGUUGGAAGAUUGAGAGGGGUUGCUCCUAGUACGAGAGGACCGGAGUGAACGCACCACUGGUGUUCGGGUUGUCAUGCCAAUGGCAUUGCCCGGUAGCUAAGUGCGGAAGAGAUAACCGCUGAAAGCAUCUAAGCGGGAAACUUGCCUCGAGAUGAGUCUUCCCUGUCGCUUUAAGCGACCUAAAGGAACGUUUAAGACUAAGACGUUGAUAGGCUGGGUGUGUAAGCGUAGUGAUACGUUGAGCUAACCAGUACUAAUGAACCGUGAGGCUUAACCUGACAACACCGAAAGUGUUUUG
rnacentral:rRNA from 1 species